CCCAUGGAUCUCCAAAGAAAUAGAAUGAAAUGAAAAAAAAAGAAGGAAAAGACAAAAAAUCGAUCAAUCCGUAUAGGAAAAGGUCUUACCUUUCGAUUUUUUCCGCUUCUCCUUUAUUUUUGUUGAUUUUUUUUUCUUUGUUUUCUCUAGGUUUUCCCUUUGGUUUUCCAUCCUUAAGAGUCUCAAUCGGGUGGGAGGCUUGGAGCGGCUGAUAGAGAAGUUUUGACAUCAGGCUAGGGUUUUAACUUUUGUGUUUAUAUA
rnacentral:lncRNA from 1 species